rnacentral:snoRNA from 1 species
AAGAGGGUUAAAAUAAAUCAAAUGUACAACAAUUAAUUUUGGGCUGUAAGA